rnacentral:rRNA from 1 species
CUCCUCUGAUUUAGCGGCGGACGGGUGAGUAACACGUGGGUAAUCUGCCUGUAAGACGGGGAUAACUCCGGGAAACCGGGGCUAAUACCGGAUAACAAGAGAAGAAGCAUUUCUUCUUUUUGAAAGUCGGUUUCGGCUGACACUUACAGAUGAGCCCGCGGCGCAUUAGCUAGUUGGUGAGGUAACGGCUCACCAAGGCGACGAUGCGUAGCCGACCUGAGAGGGUGAUCGGCCACACUGGGACUGAGACACGGCCCAGACUCCUACGGGAGGCAGCAGUAGGGAAUCUUCGGCAAUGGGCGAAAGCCUGACCGAGCAACGCCGCGUGAGCGAUGAAGGCCUUCGGGUCGUAAAGCUCUGUUGUUAGAGAAGAACAAGUACGAGAGUAACUGCUCGUACCUUGACGGUACCUAACCAGAAAGCCACGGCUAACUACGUGCCAGCAGCCGCGGUAAUACGUAGGUGGCAAGCGUUAUCCGGAAUUAUUGGGCGUAAAGCGCGCGCAGGCGGUCUCUUAAGUCUGAUGUGAAAGCCCACGGCUCAACCGUGGAGGGUCAUUGGAAACUGGGAGACUUGAGUGCAGGAGAGAAAAGUGGAAUUCCACGUGUAGCGGUGAAAUGCGUAGAGAUGUGGAGGAACACCAGUGGCGAAGGCGGCUUUUUGGCCUGUAACUGACGCUGAGGCGCGAAA